UUUGAUCAGAUCAGCUACAAUGCCCUCAAACUGCGAGCGACUCAGCUUCAUGUUCAAGUGCUUUGGUCCAGAGGCAUCCAUAGUAAGGCAGGAGGCAAGAGGUAAAACACUGCAAGUGACAACCUUAAUGCUCUUCCUUUAGCACAACACAGAAGAAAGCCCAUCAUCAGAGUUCCGGACGGUUUUGCCAAAUGACUUUUCAUAUGAGAACCACCCUGGACAGAGACAGGAGGCUGAAUGCAGUCGGGAAGAAGAUCAAGCUGUAGACACCAGCCACCAAACUUCAGCGUACUUCUUGUGCUACACUUCAGCACCAAUGGUGACAGCCCCUCACCAGGCUGUCCUUAGCCACACCUCUCACUGCCACCAGCAGGUAAGAUAAUUGACACUCCACUUUGAUAAUGAAGUUGUAGCUGCAAGUUAUGAACUCAUUUUAACAAGUACGGUUGGCAUGGAACAGAGGUGACAUUACACUGCGCUGACUCACAGCUGUGAGCCUGCUCUGGCAGAACUCCAACCACUGAUUUUAAAGAACAGAAAGCAGAAGAAGCAUUUACAAGGCAAAUUACAGCAUACUUAUUUAAACAUAGGGUAGGUGUAAUGAACAGGCACUUACACUUUGUCUUCAGACUUGUCCAGACCAUAGGCAAGUGCAGCUGCUGUUGGUUCAUUAAUCACCCUCAAAACAUUCAAGCCUGCGAUCUGCCCAGCAUCUUUUGUAGCCUGAGGAAAAAAA